rnacentral:rRNA from 1 species
AGCGAACGCUGGCGGCGUGCCUAACACAUGCAAGUCGAACGCGAAAGGGGGGCAACUCCCCGAGUAGAGUGGCGCACGGGUGAGUAACGCGUGGGUAAUCUGCCCUUGAGUGGGGAUAACCUUCCGAAAGGAGGGCUAAUACCGCAUAACACCCCGUUCUCUUCGGAGGAUGGGUUCAAAGGUGACCUCUGCAUGCAAGUCGCCGCUUGAGGAGGAGCCCGCGUCCCAUUAGCUAGNGGUAGGGUAACGGCCUACCAAGGCGACGAUGGGUAGCCGGCCUGAGAGGGUGAUCGGCCACACUGGAACUGAGACACGGUCCAGACUCCUACGGGAGGCAGCAGUGAGGAAUAUUGCGCAAUGGGCGAAAGCCUGACGCAGCGACGCCGCGUGGAGGAUGAA